rnacentral:rRNA from 1 species
AGAGUUUGAUCCUGGCUCAGGAUAAACGCUGGCGGCGUGCAUAAUGCAUGCAAGUCGAACGGGGAGUGAGCUUCGGCUUACUUCUAGUGGCAGACGGGUGAGUAACGCGUAGGUGACCUAUCAAGAAGUGGGGAAUAACUGCCCGAAAGGGUGGCUAAUACCGCAUGUGUCCAUGUACAUCAAGGUAUAUGGAUAAAGCCGUAAGGUGCUUCUUGCCGGGCCUGCGUCCGAUUAGCUAGUUGGUGGGGUAAAGGCCUACCAAGGCGAUGAUCGGUAGCUGGUCUGAGAGGAUGAUCAGCCACACUGGGACUGAGACACGGCCCAGACUCCUACGGGAGGCAGCAGCAAGGAAUUUUGCGCAAUGGGGGAAACCCUGACGCAGCAACGCCGCGUGGGUGAAGAAGGCCUUCGGGUUGUAAAGCCCUUUUGAAGGGGAAGAUAAUGACGGUACCCUUCGAAUAAGCCUCGGCUAACUACGUGCCAGCAGCCGCGGUAAUACGUAGGAGGCGAGCGUUGUCCGGAUUUAUUGGGCGUAAAGGGCGCGCAGGCGGCACUAUAAGUUAGGUGUGAAAUCUCCCGGCUCAACUGGGAGGGAGCACUUGAUACUGUAGAGCUGGAGUGCAGCAGAGGGAGAUGGAAUUCCCGGUGUAGUGGUGAAAUGCGUAGAUAUCGGGAGGAACACCAGUGGCGAAAGCGGUCUUCUGGGCUGUAACUGACGCUGAGGCGCGAAAGCGUGGGGAGCGAACCGGAUUAGAUACCCGGGUAGUCCACGCCGUAAACGAUGGACACUAGGUGUGGGGGGUAUCGACCCCCUCCGUGCCGUAGCUAACGCAAUAAGUGUCCCGCCUGGGGAGUACGGCCGCAAGGCUAAAACUUAAAGGAAUUGAUGG